AAUGGGGUGGCUGUCGACGCUUCACGACCGUGCGAUGCAAGGACAGACGCCUUCAGGAGCCUGUUGACGCAACUUGACAGAAGCAAUUACAACUGCAACUGCCCGGAGCAAACCCAGGUCGAUGCCUUCGCCAAUCUCAUCAGACGUGUCCUUAGUAAAGCAAACUGCAAUACCGUGAAGAUCGCGUUGGAAUUGCAAAACUUACGUUGUUAAAGGUGAACAGUCCAGUUGGUGUGGAAAUAAGAUGAGAGAUUUUUUUU